UACGUAGGCGGGCUAAUAAGUCAGUGGUGAAAUCUUCCGGCUCAACCGGGAACCUGCCAUUGAUACUGUUAGUCUUGAGUUCGGCUGAGGUAGGCGGAAUGUGUAAUGUAGCGGUGAAAUGCUUAGAUAUUACACAGAACACCAAUUGCGUAGGCAGCUUACUAGACCGACACUGACGCUGAGGCACGAAAGCGUGGGGAGCGAACAGGAUUAGAUACCCUGGUAGUCC
rnacentral:rRNA from 1 species